CCUACGGGGGGCAGCAGUGGGGGAUAUUGCACAAUGGGGGAAACCCUGAUGCAGCGACGCCGCGUGUGGGAAGACGGUCCUCUGGAUUGUAAACCACUGUCCCCAGGGACGAAGAUGACGGUACCUGGGGAGGAAGCUCCGGCUAACUACGUGCCAGCAGCCGCGGUAAUACGUAGGGAGCGAGCGUUGUCCGGAAUUACUGGGUGUAAAGGGAGCGUAGGCGGGGAUGCAAGUUGGGUGUCAAAACUACCGGCUCAACUGGUAGUCGCACUCAAAACUGCAGCUCUUGAGUGAAGUAGAGGCAGGCGGAAUUCCUAGUGUAGCGGUGAAAUGCGUAGAUAUCGCGCAGAACCCCGAUUGCGAAGGCAGCGUGCCGUGCCGCCACUGACGCUGAGGCACGAAAGCGCGGGGAUCGAACAGGAUUAGAUACCCGAGUAGUC
rnacentral:rRNA from 1 species